rnacentral:rRNA from 1 species
GAUGAACGCUGGCGGCGUGCCUAAUACAUGCAAGUCGAGCGAACGGACGAGAAGCUUGCUUCUCUGAUGUUAGCGGCGGACGGGUGAGUAACACGUGGAUAACCUACCUAUAAGACUGGGAUAACUUCGGGAAACCGGAGCUAAUACCGGAUAAUAUUUUGAACCGCAUGGUUCAAAAGUGAAAGACGUUCUUGCUGUCACUUAUAGCUGGAUCCGCGCUGCAUUAGCUAGUUGGUAAGGUAACGGCUUACCAAGGCAACGAUGCAUAGCCGACCUGAGAGGGUGAUCGGCCACACUGGAACUGAGACACGGUCCAGACUCCUACGGGAGGCAGCAGUAGGGAAUCUUCCGCAAUGGGCGAAAGCCUGACGGAGCAACGCCGCGUGAGUGAUGAAGGUCUUCGGAUCGUAAAACUCUGUUAUUAGGGAAGAACAUAUGUGUAAGUAACUGUGCACAUCUUGACGGUACCUAAUCAGAAAGCCACGGCUAACUACGUG